rnacentral:rRNA from 1 species
GACAGUUCGGUCCCUAUCCGUCGCAGGCGUAGGAAAUUUGAGAAGACCUGUCCUUAGUACGAGAGGACCGGGAUGGACGUACCUCUGGUGUACCAGUUGUCCUGCCAAGGGCAUGGCUGGGUAGCUAUGUACGGAAUGGAUAAGCGCUGAAAGCAUCUAAGCGCGAAGCCAACUUCAAGAUAAGAUUUCCCACCGCAAGGGUAAGACCCCAGAAAGACUAUCUGGUUG